rnacentral:pre_miRNA from 1 species
UUUGUACUCCCUCCGUCCGGAAAUACUUGUCAUCAAAAUGGAUAAAAUGGGAUGUAUCUAGACAUAUUUUAGUUCUAGAUACAUCUCUUUUUAUCCAUUUUGAUGACAAGUAUUUUCGGACGGAGGGAGUACAAA